rnacentral:rRNA from 1 species
UACGAAGGGGGCUAGCGUUGCUCGGAAUUACUGGGCGUAAAGCGCACGUAGGCGGCUUUCUAAGUCGGGGGUGAAAUCCUGGAGCUCAACUCCAGAACUGCCUUCGAUACUGGAAAGCUCGAGUCCGGGAGAGGUGAGUGGAACUGCGAGUGUAGAGGUGAAAUUCGUAGAUAUUCGCAAGAACACCGGUGGCGAAGGCGGCUCACUGGCCCGGUACUGACGCUGAGGUGCGAAAGCGUGGGGAGCAAACAGG